rnacentral:rRNA from 1 species
AACGAACGCUGGCGGCAGGCUUAACACAUGCAAGUCGAACGCGUGCAGCAAUGCACGAGUGGCGCACGGGUGAGUAACGAGUGGAUAUCUGCCUUUUGGUUCGGAAUAACCCCGGGAAACUGGGGCUAAUACCGGAUGGUUCCUACGGGAUAAAGAUUUAUCGCCAAAAGAUGAGUCCGCGUCCGAUUAGCUAGUUGGUGAGGUAAUGGCUCACCAAGGCGACGAUCGGUAGCUGGUCUGAGAGGACGAUCAGCCACACUGGGACUGAGACACGGCCCAGACUCCUACGGGAGGCAGUAGUGGGGAAUAUUGGACAAUGGGGGCAACCCUGAUCCAGCCAUGCCGCGUGAGUGAUGAAGGCCUUCGGGUUGUAAAGCUCUUUUGGCGGGGACGAUGAUGACGGUACCCGCAGAAUAAGCCCCGGCUAACUUCGUG